rnacentral:rRNA from 1 species
UACGGAGGGAGCUAGCGUUGUUCGGAAUCACUGGGCGUAAAGGGCGCGUAGGCGGCCAUUCAAGUCAGAGGUGAAAGCCCAAGGCUCAACCUUGGAACUGCCUUUGAUACUGAAGAUCUUGAGUUCGGGAGAGGUGAGUGGAACUGCGAGUGUAGAGGUGAAAUUCGUAGAUAUUCGCAAGAACACCAGUGGCGAAGGCGGCUCACUGGCCCGAUACUGACGCUGAGGCACGAAAGCGUGGGGAGCAAACAGG